rnacentral:rRNA from 1 species
GACGAACGUUGGCGGCGUGCUUAACACAUGCAAGUCGAACGGAAAGGCCCUGCUUUUGUGGGGUGCUCGAGUGGCGAACGGGUGAGUAACACGUGAGUAACCUGCCCUUGACUUUGGGAUAACUUCAGGAAACUGGGGCUAAUACCGGAUAGGAGCUCCUGCUGCGUGGUGGGGGUUGGAAAGUUUCGGCGGUUGGGGAUGGACUCGCGGCUUAUCAGCUUGUUGGUGGGGUAGUGGCUUACCAAGGCUUUGACGGGUAGCCGGCCUGAGAGGGUGACCGGCCACAUUGGGACUGAGAUACGGCCCAGACUCCUACGGGAGGCAGCAGUGGGGAAUAUUGCACAAUGGGCGGAAGCCUGAUGCAGCAACGCCGCGUGCGGGAUGACGGCCUUCGGGUUGUAAACCGCUUUCGCCUGUGACGAAGCGUGAGUGACGGUAAUGGGUAAAGAAGCACCGGCUAACUACGUGCCAGCAGCCGCGGUGAUACGUAGGGUGCGGGCGUUGUCCGGAUUUAUUGGGCGUAAAGGGCUCGUAGGUGGUUGAUCGCGUCGGAAGUGUAAUCUUGGGGCUUAACCCUGAGCGUGCUUUCGAUACGGGUUGACUUGAGGGAGGUAGGGGAGAAUGGAAUUCCUGGUGGAGCGGUGGAAUGCGCAGAUAUCAGGAGGAACACCAGUGGCGAAGGCGGUUCUCUGGGCCUUUCCUGACGCUGAGGAGCGAAAGCGUGGGGAGCGAACAGGCUUAGAUACCCUGGUAGUCCACGCUGUAAACGGUGGGUACUAGGUGUAGGGUCCAUUCCACGGGUUCCGUGCCGUAGCUAACGCUUUAAGUACCCCGCCUGGGGAGUACGGCCGCAAGGCUAAAACUCAAAGGAAUUGACGGGGCCCCGCACAAGCGGCGGAGCAUGCGGAUUAAUUCGAUGCAACGCGUAGAACCUUACCUGGGUUUGACAUGGAUCGGGAGUGCUCAGAGAUGGGUGUGCCUCUUUUGGGGUCGGUUCACAGGUGGUGCAUGCCUGUCGUCAGCUCGUGUCGUGAGAUGUUGGGUUAAGUCCCGCAACGAGCGCAACCCUUGUUCACUGUUGCCAGCACGUUAUGGUGGGGACUCAGUGGAGACCGCCGGGGUCAACUCGGAGGAAGGUGGGGAUGACGUCAAGUCAUCAUGCCCCUUAUGUCCAGGGCUUCACGCAUGCUACAAUGGCUGGUACAGAGAGUGGCGAGCCUGUGAGGGUGAGCGAAUCUCGGAAAGCCGGUCUCAGUUCGGAUUGGGGUCUGCAACUCGACCUCAUGAAGUCGGAGUCGCUAGUAAUCGCAGAUCAGCAACGCUGCGGUGAAUACGUUCCCGGGGCU